GAGGGCUUAGCUUAAUUAAAGUAAUUGAUUUGCGUUCAGUUGAUGCAAAAUAAGGUUUGCAGUCCUUA
rnacentral:tRNA from 3 species